rnacentral:rRNA from 1 species
UACGGGAUAAUAUAUUUGAGAGGCAUCUCUUGAAUAUCAAAGGUGAGCCAGUACAGGAUGGACCCGCGUCUGAUUAGUUAGUUGGUAAGGUAACGGCUUACCAAGGCGACGAUCAGUAGCCGACCUGGGAGGGUGAUCGGCCACAUUGGAACUGAGACACGGUCCAAACUCCUACGGGAGGCAGCAGUGGGGAAUAUUGCACAAU